UACGAAGGGUGCAAGCGUUACUCGGAAUCACUGGGCGUAAAGGGCGCGUAGGCGGCGUUUUAAGUCGGGGGUGAAAGCCUGUGGCUCAACCACAGAAUGGCCUUCGAUACUGGGACGCUUGAGUAUGGUAGAGGUUGGUGGAACUGCGAGUGUAGAGGUGAAAUUCGUAGAUAUUCGCAAGAACACCGGUGGCGAAGGCGGCCAACUGGACCAUUACUGACGCUGAGGCGCGAAAGCGUGGGGAGCAAACAGG
rnacentral:rRNA from 1 species